rnacentral:rRNA from 1 species
GAUGAACGCUGGCGGCGUGCCUAAUACAUGCAAGUCGAGCGAACGGACGAGAAGCUUGCUUCUCUGAUGUUAGUGGCGGACGGGUGAGUAACACGUGGAUAACCUACCUAUAAGACUGGGAUAACUUCGGGAAACCGGAGCUAAUACCGGAUAAUAUUUUGAACCGCAUGGUUCAAAAGUGAAAGACGGUCUUGCUGUCACUUAUAGAUGGAUCCGCGCUGCAUUAGCUAGUUGGUAAGGUAACGGCUUACCAAGGCAACGAUGCAUAGCCGACCUGAGAGGGUGAUCGGCCACACUGGAACUGAGACACGGUCCAGAUUCCUACGGGAGGCAGCAGCAGGGAAUCUUCCGCAAUGGGCGAAAGCCUGACGGAGCAACGCCGCGUGAGUGAUGAAGGUCUUCGGAUCGUAAAACUCUGUUAUUAGGGAAGAACAUAUGUGUAAGUAACUGUGCACAUCUUGACGGUACCUAAUCAGAAAGCCACGGCUAACUACGUGCCAGCAGCCGCGGUAAUACGUAGGUGGCAAGCGUUAUCCGGAAUUAUUGGGCGUAAAGCGCGCGUAGGCGGUUUUUUAAGUCUGAUGUGAAAGCCCACGGCUCAACCGUGGAGGGUCAUUGGAAACUGGAAAACUUGAGUGCAGAAGAGGAAAGUGGAAUUCCAUGUGUAGCGGUGAAAUGCGCAGAGAUAUGGAGGAACACCAGUGGCGAAGGCGACUUUCUGGUCUGUAACUGACGCUGAUGUGCGAAAGCGUGGGGAUCAAACAGGAUUAGAUACCCUGGUAGUCCACGCCGUAAUCGAUGAGUGCUAAGUGUUAGGGGGUUUCCGCCCCUUAGUGCUGCAGCUAACGCAUUAAGCACUCCGCCUGGGGAGUACGACCGCAAGGUUGAAACUCAAAGGAAUUGACGGGGACCCGCACAAGCGGUGGAGCAUGUGGUUUAAUUCGAAGCAACGCGAAGAACCUUACCAAAUCUUGACAUCCUUUGACAACUCUAGAGAUAGAGCCUUCCCCUUCGGGGGACAAAGUGACAGGUGGUGCAUGGUUGUCGUCAGCUCGUGUCGUGAGAUGUUGGGUUAAGUCCCGCAACGAGCGCAACCCUUAAGCUUAGUUGCCAUCAUUAAGUUGGGCACUCUAAGUUGACUGCCGGUGACAAACCGGAGGAAGGUGGGGAUGACGUCAAAUCAUCAUGCCCCUUAUGAUUUGGGCUACACACGUGCUACAAUGGACAAUACAAAGGGCAGCGAAACCGCGAGGUCAAGCAAAUCCCAUGAAGUUGUUCUCAGUUCGGAUUGUAGUCUGCAACUCGACUACAUGAAGCUGGAAUCGCUAGUAAUCGUAGAUCAGCAUGCUACGGUGAAUACGUUCCCGGGUCU